GAUGAUGUUCACCGAGCUGUAGAU
rnacentral:piRNA from 1 species